rnacentral:rRNA from 1 species
CAGUAGCCGCGGUAAAACGAACCGUGCGAACGUUAUUCGGAAUCACUGGGCUUAAAGCGCGUGUAGGCGGAUGGGAGCGUCGGCCUCUGAAAUCCCCCGGCUCAACCGGGGAAGUGGAGCCGAAACGACCCGUCUGGAGGGACGUAGGGGGACCUGGAACUUCCGGUGGAGCGGUGAAAUGCGUUGAGAUCGGAAGGAACGCCCGUGGCGAAAGCGAGGUCCUGGACGUCUGCUGACGCUGAGACGCGAAAGCCAGGGGAGCGAACGGGAUUAGAUACCCCCGUAGUCCCUGUCUCUUAUA